rnacentral:ncRNA from 2 species
GCCCGCACCGAGGGGGGCUCUGCGAGAGAGCUGAGAUGUGGCCAGGGGCUUUUGCCCACCGCCGCGGACCCUUUGAACCUGAUCCGAUUAACAUCGGCGGAGGGACGGGGGAUGAAUUCGUG